rnacentral:rRNA from 1 species
GAUUAACGCUAGCGGCAGGCAUAAUACAUGCAAGUUGAACGGCAGCACAGGUAGCAAUACUGGGUGGCGAGUGGCGCACGGGUGCGUAACACGUAUGCAACCUACCCUAUACAGGCGAAUAACCUUUAGAAAUGAGGGCUAAUACGCCGUAGUAUUACAGAUGGGCAUCUAUUUGUAAUUAAAGAUUUAUCGGUAUAGGAUGGGCAUGCGUCCCAUUAGUUAGUUGGUAAGGUAACGGCUUACCAAGACGAUGAUGGGUAGGGGAUCUGAGAGGACUUACCACCACACUGGUACUGAGACACGGACCAGAAUCCUACGGGAGGCAGCAGUAAGGAAUAUUGUGCAAUGGCCGCGAGGCUGACCCAGCCAUGCCGCGUGCAGGAAGACGGCCUUAUGGGUUGUAAACUGCUUUUAUACGGGAAUAAUAGAGUGUACGCGUACAUUUAUGCAAGUAUCGUAUGAAUAAGCAUCGGCUAACUACGUG